AAUCAACGCUGGCGGCGUGCCUAACACAUGCAAGUCGCACGAGAAAGGGACUUCGGUCCUGAGUAAAGUGGCGCACGGGUGAGUAACACGUGAAUCAUCUACCUUCGAGUGGGGAUAACUGAGAGAAAUCUUAGCUAAUACCGCAUAAUACCUACGGGUCAAAGCAGCAAUGCGCUUGAAGAGGAGUUCGCGGCAGAUUAGUUAGUUGGCGGGGUAAUGGCCCGACCAAGACGAUGAUCUGUAUCCGGCC
rnacentral:rRNA from 1 species